GACGAACGCUGGCGGCGUGCUUAACACAUGCAAGUCGAGCGGUAAGGCCCUUUCGGAGGUACACGAGCGGCGAACGGGUGAGUAACACGUGGGUGACCUGCCCUCAGCUCUGGGAUAAGCCUGGGAAACCGGGUCUAAUACUGGAUAUGACUCCAUGACGCAUGUUGUGGGGUGGAAAGCCUUGUGCGGCUGAGGAUGGGCCCGCGGCCUAUCAGCUUGUUGGUGGGGUGAUGGCCUACCAAGGCGACGACGGGUAGCCGGCCUGAGAGGGCGACCGGCCACACUGGGACUGAGACACGGCCCAGACUCCUACGGGAGGCAGCAGUGGGGAAUCUUGCGCAAUGGGCGAAAGCCUGACGCAGCGACGCCGCGUGAGGGAUGACGGCC
rnacentral:rRNA from 1 species